rnacentral:rRNA from 1 species
AACGAACGCUGGCGGCAUGCCUAACACAUGCAAGUCGAACGAGACCUUCGGGUCUAGUGGCGCACGGGUGCGUAACGCGUGGGAACCUGCCCUUAGGUUCGGAAUAACUCCCCGAAAGGGGUGCUAAUACCGGAUAAUGUCUUCGGACCAAAGAUUUAUCGCCUUUGGAUGGGCCCGCGUUGGAUUAGCUAGUUGGUAGGGUAAAGGCCUACCAAGGCGACGAUCCAUAGCUGGUCUGAGAGGAUGAUCAGCCACACUGGGACUGAGACACGGCCCAGACUCCUACGGGAGGCAGCAGUGGGGAAUAUUGGACAAUGGGCGAAAGCCUGAUCCAGCAAUGCCGCGUGAGUGAUGAAGGCCUUAGGGUUGUAAAGCUCUUUUACCCGGGAUGAUAAUGACAGUACCGGGAGAAUAAGCUCCGGCUAACUCCGU